rnacentral:lncRNA from 1 species
GAGAUUCGCCAAUAGUCAAGCAGUCUAUCAGUUUUUGACUGUUGGAAUAUAAACGACUACAAGAAUACACCGUAAAUCUAUACGGAUGCCCUUCGACUGCUCGCCGAAGUCCUUUUUGUCCCAGUCGGUAGGUCUCUGGACGUUACAGAGAACCCUGAACAACCCAAACUGCUAAUCUUCGACACCGCUUUAUACUCACGAUCUUGUAUCCACUGACUGUCUCGUUAGAUUAAUCCAAUAAAUUUCAUUCACUUCGCAUACUCAAUCCUAUAGACACCCUUUUAAUUCUUCAUCACAGACGUAAUUCGAUUUCACAAAACAGUCAAGAGUAAUCAAACCCACUUCAU